GACGAACGCUGGCGGCGUGCUUAACACAUGCAAGUCGAACGGAAAGGCCCUGCUUUUGUGGGGUGCUCGAGUGGCGAACGGGUGGGUAACACGCGAGUAACCUGCCCUUGACUUUGGGAUAACUUCAGGAAACUGGGGCUAAUACCGGAUAGGAGCUCCUGCUGCAUGGUGGGGGUUGGAAAGUUUCGGCGGUUGGGGAUGGACUCGCGGCUUACCAGCUUGUUGGUGGGGUAGUGGCUUACCAAGGCUUUGACGGGUAGCCGGCCUGAGAGGGUGACCGGCCACAUUGGGACUGAGAUACGGACCAGACUCCUACGGGAGGCAGCAGUGGGGAAUAUUGCACAGUGGGCGGAAGCCUGAUGCAGCAACGCCGCGUGCGGGAUGACGGCCUUCGGGUUGUAAACCGCUUUCGCCUGUGACGAAGCGUGAGUGACGGUAAUGGGUAAAGAAGCACCGGCUAACUACGUG
rnacentral:rRNA from 1 species